rnacentral:rRNA from 1 species
UACAGAGGGUGCGAGCGUUGUCCGGAAUCACUGGGCGUAAAGGGCGCGUAGGCGGCCUGAUAAGUAGGGGGUGAAAUCUUGCGGCUCAACCGCAAGGCUGCCUUCUAAACUGUCAGGCUGGAGCACGGUAGAGGCAGAUGGAAUUCCCGGUGUAGCGGUGGAAUGCGUAGAGAUCGGGAAGAACACCAGUGGCGAAGGCGGUCUGCUGGGCCGUUGCUGACGCUGAGGCGCGACAGCGUGGGGAGCAACA